rnacentral:rRNA from 1 species
GGAGCGUAGGUGGCUUGAUAAGUCAGAUGUGAAAUCCCCGGGCUUAACCUGGGAACUGCAUCUGAAACUGUUAGGCUAGAGUAGGUGAGAGGAAGGUAGAAUUCCAGGUGUAGCGGUGAAAUGCGUAGAGAUCUGGAGGAAUACCGAUGGCGAAGGCAGCCUUCUGGCAUCAUACUGACACUGAGGCUCGAAAGCGUGGGUAGCAAACAGGAUUAGAUACCCUGGUAGUCCACGCCGUAAACGAUGUCUACUAGUCGUUGGGUCCCUUGAGGACUUAGUGACGCAGCUAACGCAAUAAGUAGACCGCCUGGGGAGUACGGCCGCAAGGUUAAAACUCAAAUGAAUUGACGGGGGCCCGCACAAGCGGUGGAGCAUGUGGUUUAAUUCGAUGCAACGCGAAGAACCUUACCUGGUCUUGACAUAUCUAGAAUCCUGCAGAGAUGCGGGAGUGCCUUCGGGAAUUAGAAUACAGGUGCUGCAUGGCUGUCGUCAGCUCGUGUCGUGAGAUGUUGGGUUAAGUCCCGCAACGAGCGCAACCCUUGUCCUUAGUUACCAGCGGGUUAAGCCGGGAACUCUAAGGAUACUGCCAGUGACAAACUGGAGGAAGGCGGGGACGACGUCAAGUCAUCAUGGCCCUUACGACCAGGGCUACACACGUGCUACAAUGGUAGGUACAGAGGGCAGCUACACAGCGAUGUGAUGCGAAUCUCAAAAAGCCUAUCGUAGUCCAGAUUGGAGUCUGCAACUCGACUCCAUGAAGUAGGAAUCGCUAGUAAUCGCGGAUCAGAAUGCCGCGGUGAAUACGUUCCCGGGCCUUGUACACACCGCCCGUCACACCAUGGGAGUUGAUUGCACCAGAAGUGGAUAGCCUAACCUUCGGGAAGGCGUUCACCACGGUGUGGUUGAUGACUGGGG